rnacentral:rRNA from 1 species
CCUACGGGAGGCAGCAGUGAGGAAUAUUGGUCAAUGGGCGAGAGACUGAACCAGCCAAGUAGCGUGAGGGAGGACGGCCCUAUGGGUUGUAAACCGCUUUUGUGGGGGGGCAAAAGCCGGACGUGUCCGGCUGUGAGAGUACCCGAAGAAAAAGCAUCGGCUAACUCCGUGCCAGCAGCCGCGGUAAUACGGAGGAUGCGGGCCGUAUCCGGAUUUAUUGGGUGUAAAGGGUGCGCAGGCGGAGUUUUAAGUCGGCGGUAAAAUCGGGGGGGUCAACCCCAUCACGCAGUAGAAACUGGGGAUCUAGAGUGUGCGAGAGGUAUGCGGAAUGCGUGGUGUAGCGGUGAAAUGCAUAGAUAUCACGCAGAACCCCGAUUGCGAAGGCAGCAUACCGGUGCACAACUGACGCUCAGGCACGAAAGCGUGGGUAUCGAACAGGAUUAGAUACCCCAGUAGUC